rnacentral:rRNA from 1 species
AGAGUUUGAUCCUGGCUCAGAGCGAACGCUGGCGGCAGGCUUAACACAUGCAAGUCGAGCGGGCGUAGCAAUACGUCAGCGGCAGACGGGUGAGUAACGCGUGGGAACGUACCUUUUGGUUCGGAACAACACAGGGAAACUUGUGCUAAUACCGGAUAAGCCCUUACGGGGAAAGAUUUAUCGCCGAAAGAUCGGCCCGCGUCUGAUUAGCUAGUAGGUAGGGUAAUGGCCUACCAAGGCGACGAUCAGUAGCUGGUCUGAGAGGAUGAUCAGCCACAUUGGGACUGAGACACGGCCCAAACUCCUACGGGAGGCAGCAGUGGGGAAUAUUGGACAAUGGGGGCAACCCUGAUCCAGCCAUGCCGCGUGAGUGAUGAAGGCCCUAGGGUUGUAAAGCUCUUUUGUGCGGGAAGAUAAUGACGGUACCGCAAGA